rnacentral:lncRNA from 1 species
CCCACCCACUUCUUACUCGUCUGGCUGCGGUGAUAUACCUAUACUACUAAGUCAAACUUAUCUCUAACUGUAUCAAGUCAGUAGCUUCCAUGGACCCAACUGAGAAUCAGAAGACAUGUUCUCCUCAAACACAAUAAUAAAAUAGGUCCAUCGAUACCAAAAGAUCACACGAAACAUGUUCAAGUCAGCAGGCAAGAUUCCUCUCCUCAACUCGAACUGAUUUCUUCUGAAGCAGAGGCAAGGAGCUUUGGAAUCAAGGAAGCCCAUGGAAACUUUUCUAGAUCUAAUCAUCCUACAAGGCUAGCUAUUUCUGAAUUCGGAGUGUUCGAUUGCUAUGAAGGGAUAGAUUAAUAAUAAAGUAAGGGGGUUAUGUUCAUGGGACAGAGGUGGUGCAGGUGGCAACGCAAACAUGGAUGGAAAAAUUUGAUGUGGAUUCAAUCACCUUCGGGUCGGCAAUACUGCUACUUUUGAAUUUUCUUGGGUUUUACCAAAGAAGUACUUCAGAUAUGGAGGCUAUUGGUGUGAGAGUACUUCAUAUGGAGGCUACUGGUGGGAGAGUACUUAGGAUAUAGAGGCUACUGGUGGGAGAGUACUUCAGAUAUGGAGGUACUGUUUGGCAAUGGGUAAUGGGAGGAUUGUUAGGAUGGCUUUGAUUCUGAGAUUUUGUGAUUUUUCCCCUAUUUAUAUGGAGGGACAAUAUCAAGGGGCUCUGCCACAAAACCAUCGAUGGAACAGUAAUAUUGUUGGGAACUAUGACUCAGCACUUUUGAAAUAUUUUGAUUAUUGUCUAUUGUCUCUCUCUUUGGCACGACAACAGUAUUAGCAGAGAGAAAAUUUUUGGACAAGGAAUAAGGUUGGUAUUUGUUCGGCGCUGUAUAUAUUUGAUUCGGGCUAAAUUGGUUGGGGCCAAGAUACACGCGUCUUAUAUGAGCUCCGAUUAUUCAAGAUGUUUACUCGUGACACUUUUGGCAACAACCCAC